GAUUAAUAAGGUCACAGAUGGUAUCAGGAGAGCCUAGUUGAGGAUUCUACCUUAACCAGCAGGCUGAACUCAAGGGUCCAGGCUAACUCAGUUCAUGGUUUUGUUUUUGUUUUUUUUUUCCAGUGGAACCUGGGACACUUGCAUUUUCUGGCAAUAUUUCUUUGUCUGGGACUCAUUGACUUCUCUUUUCCCCUGGUAUAAAAGUAAAAUCAAUGCACUUUAAGAGUAUAUUUGGUAUAUUGAAUCUGCAAGAAAAAUAGAAGGCAUGGGAAUGCCAUGGUCCCCAAGACACUGAAGCAACUACUUGGCUUUUUCAGUUUUGUUUUGUUUUGUUUUGUUUUUUGUAGACUAAUAUCAUAAGAUACCACAGUAUCAAAUGUGGAGAAUGGGUGGGAGUCUUGCAGGGGUAACAGAGUGAAGAUCAAGUUUAGACUGAUUUUUCCCCCUCAAAGGUUUUUCCUUUUUCUCUCUAGUGACAUAAAUUUUCAUUUUGUGCAAAGUGGGGAAGAAUGAAGUUGGCAGGAGAUUAUCAAUUUUGGAAUUAAGAGUUUCUACAGUUGAGAAGAGACACCUUUAUGGGUGUGGGAAUCAAGCUUCACUAGGCUCUGUGCAGGUGAAGGGAAGUUUAUUCGGGGAGAAGGCACCUACACAGGAAACAGGUAACUGCUGCAGGUUCUCAUUCCAAGGAUUCUCAUUCCUGACACCUGGAUGCUCUCUGAGACCCGACCAGGAAGCAAGAGAGGUCCUGAGCCUGGUACCUAAUCCUUAUCACCGGUCUUGUCCACACCUGUGACCACACCCAAAAGGGUGUGGUCAGUGCUACAGGUGUAGAAGUGGAUAUCACUACACACCAUGGCCACAACAACUCUUAUGAAGGAAAACAUUUAAUUGGGGCUGGCUUACAGAGGCUUAGUCCCUUGUUGUCAUGUUGGGAAGCAUGGCAGAACACAGUAUAGGCAGAGUGGCACUGGAGAAAAAACUGAGAGUAUCAUUUGGAUUGGCAGGCAUCAGGAAGUGAAUGCCCCACUGGGCAUGGCUUGAGCACCCGAGACCUUAAAUCUCACAGAGACACACUUUCUCCAACAAGGCCACACCUAAUCAUGCCACUCCCCAUGGGCCUAUGGGGGCCAUUUUAUUUCAAACCACCACACUCUAUAAAAAGGCCUUUGUUCCUGUUUGCCCCCCCCACACUAGCUAGAAUGCCAAACUACAUAGGAUCUGUACACCAAGGAUGAGAAUUUUCUCUUAAUACUGUCAUCAUAUUCAGAACUGCUCCAAUCCCUGUGAGUAGAGGAAGGUAAGGGCUAAAAGAGCCUCGCAGAGUCAUUUGGCCUGAAUGCUUUCACCAUACAAUGGGGCUCUGUGGGUGUGUGGCAAGAUGGGGAAGUGUGAGGCGCAGAGCUAGGGCAUAGUGAGCUCCUUGUGAGGGUUAUUAUUGAUUAUCAAUUUGACAGGAUCUACCUUCCCCAAGGAGUCAAAUAUCUGGACAGGAGGAGUGUCUAGGUUCCAUUCACUGAGAUGGGUCAGCCCAUCCUAAAUGUGGGUGGCAUCACCCAUGAGCUGAAGCCCCAGAUAUUGAAAUGCUGAAAUUCCAUACCAGGUUACUUAGGUAUUUGUGGGGAGUGUAGCAGAACUACAAGCAGAUGCUUCAACAUGUUGCCAUUGCCAUGUUUACGGUUUAG
rnacentral:lncRNA from 1 species